UAUGAAUUGUUUCUGUUUGUUCAUGUUUUACUAAUCUGGUAUUAACUAAUUACAGUAUUCUCUCUACUCACAAAAAAGGCAUCUACUCACAAAAAACACAGAAAACACAUUCAUGCAUUUACUUACAUGCCUAACCACACACACACACACACACACACAUUUGUUUUGUUGUUUUUAGAGCAUUAAAGUUUCGCUCAGUUUUCUAAAAUGUUAUCUUUAUCAUGUUUCAUGAACUGGAAAGUGUUGUUGUCCACACCCUUGCCAUUAGGUCGCCUAAAAGGAUCUACCCACGAACUAAUCAUAUUCUCAUCAUAACUUCAGAGGCAUCUACUCACAAAUUAAGUCAUAUAGCCUGAAGGGUGUCUACCCAUGAUGUGGCCUUGCUUUUACUUUUAAACAGCUGAGUAGUUUGAUUAGAGUUCUGCCUGUGAACUUUAAUGUAGGAUGAGUGUCUGCCUAAGAAUUCACAACAUCACUGUUAAAGAACUCCAAGAGUGUCUGCUCAGGAGUUCAUUGUUAAACUCUACAGGAGAUGAUCAACCCUGUUAAUUACAUAAAGAAGAGGAUUUGAUGUUAAGAUUUAAUUGACUAAUGU